AUUGAACGCUGGCGGCAGGCCUAACACAUGCAAGUCGAACGAGUGGCGGACGGGUGAGUAAUGUCUGGGAAACUGCCUGAUGGAGGGGGAUAACUACUGGAAACGGUCGCUAAUACCGCAUACCAUACGAUGUGCCCAGAUGGGAUUAGCUGGUUGGUGGGGUAACGGCUAACCAAGGCGACGAGCCCUAGCUGGUCUGAGAGGAGGACCAGCCACACGGGAACUGGGACACGGUCCAGACUCCUACGGGAGGCAGCGGGGGGGAAUAUUGGACAAGGGGCGAAAGCCUGAUCCAGCCAUGCCGCUUGUGUGAAGAAGGUCUUCGGAUUGUAAAGCACUUUAAGUUGGGAGGCGUUACCAACAGAAUAAGCACCGGCUAACUUCGUGCCAGCAGCCGCGGUAAUAC
rnacentral:rRNA from 1 species